rnacentral:rRNA from 1 species
GGGCCUUGGUUUGGUCCGGCCGCUGACGCUCACCGCUCGCUGACGCCGGUGGAGCUCGAGCUUCCGCUCUUCUAGCACUAAGCACUGGGGAAGCCUAACUCUAUCUAGCAGAGCCGACAUGGACAUGGACAUGGCGAGCUAGGGGCCAGACUCCAAUGGGAUGUUCCGCCUACGUACAGCAGAUCCUGCUGCUGGUCGUUCUCCUCCUACCAGCACCACCGUCCUAGCAAGCCGCGCGGCCACGACGGCCUGCUCGACUGCCGCCUCCACGAGCACGCCGACGGGAAGUUCAGGUAGGUCGCGAAGGUGCGACACACGGCGAGGACCCGGCGCCACGAGAGGAGGCCGCUCAAGGAGUCGGAGAUGCAGUGGAAACCUUAUUUAUUCUACCUCCUCUUAACCGCGUCCUCCCGGAGUUUCAACAAACAGACUAACUAAACCAGAUAACUACUGUUUAAAGUAGACAGAAAAAGAAAAAGAGAAAACGCUCCUUGUUCACUACUUAAAAUAAAGAAUAUUCGGUUGAGCAUCUCUUUGGAGAGAGAGAGGCAUAUGCACGUACACUCGUUUAGCAAAAACAAUCCAAUCGGUCAAACGCUGGUUCGCUGCCGACGCCGAAAGAGGUGGAGAGGUGGUCGGCCGCUGUCAACCCGCCCCUCGGGGCCUAGACACGCGUGCCAAGCACAGAUCACCCACAGAGACUUAAGAACCUGCAGCCACUUCUACCCCGUCGUCACUGCUACUCAUGUUACUAAGGAGGGGAAGGAACAUCCCCGCAGCUGCUCAGUCUGCUACCACAGUUAGCGACCGUUUAAGCUGAGUACGCAAAUAAGUGCCGCCUCCCCGCUGUAGCGCCGCACCAGAUAAAGAGAGGUCAAUGUAGAAACGUAACACUACUUCGAAUCGGUCUAUGCCGAGGCAACCCCAGAAUACUCCAAACACAGAGGUGGAAGCGGACAAACCUGAACCCUAAUAUCUGACUGGGAACAGCCACGAGAGCUUGCCACUAGAAAAGUUUAGCCGCAGCCAGCGCAGAAGAUCAGAUGUAGUUACUGAAAGACUGGCGACGAACACAUUCGAGAACUCAAAAAUUGUAGCUCGAAACGAGUGACGCGCAGCGUCUACCUAUGUCUUCCUUCUGCUACUACUAAGGAACUUCCUGAACGGGCAUAAAAUAAUAAUAAUGAUCGUUUUCCCGGGCACGUAACAUUGCCUUCCUCUUUUUUUAGUAUUAGCGGUUACCAAUUCUGGUCUAAAACGAGGCAGGCUCUAUAAGAUAGAGAGAGAAAGAGUGGCUCUGUAAGGAUUGUCGUAAUAGGUACAUACAUAAAUAUUUGUUACACGUACAUGUUUCACGAUG